rnacentral:tRNA from 1 species
AGCGGGGUUUUUUGUUUGUGGAUUUAGGUCGGGCUCAUAACCCGGAGGUCGCAAGUUCAAAUCUUGCCCCCGCUA